GUGCGACGCGCACUGGGCGGGACUUCCGGCGUCUCCUCUGGGCGGUCAGUUUCGCUGCUGUCAGGAGAUCUCAGCCUGGUGGAAGCUGAUUGUGCGCUGAGGCAACCAGCGCCGGAAGGCGCGGUGGCUCCGCAUUCUGUUCUCACCGCUCAGAGGCGGGUCUGAGGCUCGGUGGCGGCUCCCAGGGUGACCCGGGCCCUCUCCUCGGUUGUUGUCUCCCCGCCCGCUCUACCCACAGGCUCGGAUGGCGGCGGCCGCGCUAAGGGACCCCGCUCAGCAGGGCUAUGUGACCUUUGAGGAUGUAGCUGUCUACUUCUCCCAGGAGGAAUGGAGAUUGCUUGAUGAGACUCAGAGGCUCCUCUGCCGCAAUGUGAUGCUGGAGAACUUUUCACUUCUGGCCUCUCUGGGACUUGCAUCUUCCAAGACCCAUGAUAUAACCCAGCUGGAGUCAUGGGAGGAGCCCUUCAUGCCUGCUUGGGAAGUUGUGACUUCAGGCUUACCAAAAGGUUGUUGGCAUGGAGCUGAGGCCAAGGAGGCCCUUGAGCAGAGUGCUUCUGUAAAAGUGCCCAGUUCAAACGUUCAGCAACACCAGAAGCACUAUGGAGAGAAACCCUUAAAAAGACAAGAGGGCAGGGUCCCAGUUUUGAGGAGUUGCAGAGUCCACCUGUCAGAGAAGUCCUUGCAAAGCAGAGAAGUUGGGAAGGACCUCCUGACCAGCUCAGGUGUUCUCAAGCACCAGAUGACUCACACGGGAGAGAAGUCACAUAGGAGCUCCAAAAGUAAGGAGGCCUUUCAUGCUGGAAAAAGGUAUUACAAAUGCAGUGAAUGUGGGAAAGACUUUGGUCAGAAAUAUUUACUUGUUCAGCACCAGAGACUACACACUGGGGAAAAGCCUUAUGAAUGCAGUGAAUGUGGGAAGUUAUUUAGCCAUAAGUCCAACCUUUUUAUACACCAAAUAGUUCACACUGGAGAAAGGCCUUAUGGGUGUAGUGACUGUGGAAAAUCCUUUAGCCGUAAUGCUGACCUCAUUCAACAUCAGAGAGUUCACACUGGAGAAAAGCCUUUUACAUGCAGUGAAUGUGGAAAAGCUUUCAGGCAUAAUUCCACACUUGUUCAGCAUCACAGAAUCCACACUGGAGUAAGGCCUUAUGAGUGCAGUGAAUGUGGAAAAUUGUUUAGUUUCAACUCCAGCCUCAUGAAACAUCAGAGAGUUCACACUGGAGAAAGACCUUAUAAUGCAGUGAUGUGAAUUCUAAUAGCCACCAAUCCAGCCUCAUUCAUCAUUGCGGUUCACACUGGAAAAUGCUACGCGUGCAGCGAAUGUGGAAGUUUUUUAGCCAAAGUUAAGCUCAUGCCAACAUCGAAAGUUCCACACUGGAGAAAAGCCUUUUAAUGCAUGAAUGUGGGAGUCUUUAGUGAGAAUUCCAGCCUGGUUCACUCCGAGGGUUCACACUGGAGCAAGCGCUUCUGAUUGCAGGGGAAUGGGGAUUUUUUUCGCCACAGCUCCGUCUUUGCUUAAACAUCGAGGAUUCACCACUGGGACAACAGUGUUGUGGGAAAUCCCUUACCGCAUUUCAACCUCAUUCAACCCGAAGAUUCACAGGGGAGAAAAAGUCUUGAAGUAA